GUGCUCUUUUCAGUAGCUCAUAUUUAUAAUGAAAUUGGAAUGAUACAGAGAAGAUUUAGCAUGGUCCCUGCACAAGGAUGAUAUGCAAAAUCCAUGAAGCGUUCUAUAAGUAA
ensembl:snRNA U6 U6 spliceosomal RNA